ACUUAAAUUGAAGAGUUUGAUCAUGGCUCAGAUUGAACGCUGGCGGCAGGCCUAACACAUGCAAGUCGAGCGGUAGCACAGAGAGCUUGCUCU
rnacentral:rRNA from 2 species